GCCUUAGAAGCAAAGACUGAAGAUUUCUGAAGAAGAAGCAAUCAUGCCUCAAUAAAGCAACCUAAGAAACCCUGCCUGAGUUUCCAGCCUGCUGGCCCAUCCUGCAGAUUUAGAACUGAAAACUACAUCAACUAAUUUGCCUGCAUUCCCACUUUACCAGCCAGCCCUACAGCUUUCAAACUUGCCAGCCCCUACAGUCAUGCUUUAUUCCCGAAGGACACGGUGGAUAUUUUGUGUGGCCCAAGAAAAGCAAAUGCUGGAAAAAAGCACUAGAAACUGCCCUUUGAAGUUUGCUACCAAGAUCUAAUAUCUUGACAGACCAAAUGGGUACUUGGUGCCUACUGAGAAGCCUUUACUCCCUUUACUCUUCCUCAGAUCAAUGAAGGACAAAUUGACUUCUCUGAAAAAGGUUCGGCUUUUUGGGAAUUUUCCCUACUUUGUGUAAUUUUUUUAUUCUGUAGAGCUGGCCCAGACAGCCCUACAAAUGUCUCACUUCCACCACAUUUGGGAACGCAGGCCUCUGUAGGUGACAUAAUUCAUCCACUACACAAAUCAUGAUCCAUUCAGCAUUUCCAUAUUAUCUUCAUUUGUCAUAUUUUAAAAAUAAAUAUACACACAAGUUUUACUAUUUGAUUUCAAAAUAUCUGGAGAAAAGCACACUGAUGAAAACAUUGUUCCUCUUUUAAAAAAUUACUCUAUUAAACUUAUCACCAAGGCAUGGUCAGAACAGUGACCCUCAGGAGCCUGAGGAGAGAAGGCAAGGCACGCUGAGGUGAUCCUACAUCCUACACAGCCCACAGGGCUCCCAUGCUCCAGCAAUCACAAUGGAUUUUUAAACAGAGAUUCUGACUUCUUCUUGAUCUAUGAGGCAAUUUCUAAAUUUAAUGAUAUCCAAAAUCUUCCCAGCUGUAUCUCUAUCCUUGGGUCUGUGAAAUUCCAUGCAAAAAGUGCUCAGAAAGCACUCCAUUCAGUGAAAGAUUUGGGGAGUUUUGGAAAUACUCAAACAAAAUCUGUUUAAUUUAUAUAAACCCCCAGUGAGAAAAGCAUUAAGAAUGGAAGUUUAGAAAUAAAAUUUUUCCACAUUAUUUCACAGGUUCUGUUUCCUUACUGAAUGUUGCCUGUUGCUUUUAUAAAUAAUAUUGCUUCCAGCUGGCACGCUUAAACAGGAUCCAUUCAAAUGGAUUUCAUGGGACAUUGAGCAAUUCCGGUACCUUUCUCAAUCAAAACUAAAGGUUACAUU
rnacentral:lncRNA from 10 species